rnacentral:sRNA from 1 species
ACUUACAGCUUUGUUCUUGAAUGUGCAUGAAAUCAGCUUACCACGGAGGUGAAGGCAAGAACUCUGGUGCAACAGCUUUGAAAUACCAAGCUGUGCUGAGGAGAAAGGCCCUGUUGAUUUUUCUGGUAGUUCACAGACUGCGUUGGUCCAGUAAGCAGAGAUGAACACCAGAUUUCAAAACCCAGCCCUGUCUGUUAAGAGUGAGGCUGAAUAUUACUGAAGAAUGAUCCUGUUCAACCUCCUAGUGCCUCUACUGAAUUAUUCCUCUUUUAAAUGGUUAAUGAACCAAUAAUUUUUAAAUCAUACCAAAAAUAGUAAGAAAAUAUGCAAACACUCUGUGAUCAAACUUAAAAGUCAUUGCCAUUCAUCAUUAAUAAAAGUUGCCAUUUCAACUACAUCCCAACAUUACCUAAUAGGGUAUUCAGGGAACCUAUCUUAAAUUGUGCUUAUCUAAAUCUUGGAGCUUUGAGCUAGGGGAGGAGAAUGUAUUAGACUAAAUACAAACUGAGGGGUUGUAAGGGAGUCUCA